UUGAAUUCUCGUACAAACUGGAGUUCCUUGGCUACAUGCUGGACUUCAUUAAACAGGAACCACUGGAUUCUCUGGCAUCUCAGUUCGCUACCAGGCGAUUCUUGCCAUUGGACAUCUGAGCAAGCUCAAACCAUCUCUGACCAUGGAGGAAAACCAUGAGCUCCUGGAUCAGUGCUUCAAAGUUUAUUUCCCCUUCCUCCCUUGGAGAUGACGAAAGAGGAAGGCGAGACAGCAGAGGAUGCUCUGCAUAUACAAUCACUCUACGUGAGGUCCUUUGAAGCUCUUGGCAAGCUAAUGGAGACAUUGCUGGAGGAAGCACCAACCGCAGACUGGUUCCAGGAAAUGUUUGAUCUCCUAAGGACAUGGUUCAGUUCAGGGAAGGAGUGGGAGAGAAAGGGC